UAGCGUAGGGGGCAAGCGUUGUCCGGAAUCAUUGGGCGUAAAGAGCGUGUAGGCGGCCUAGAAAAGUCCGCUGUGAAAACCUCGAGGCUCAACGUUCGAGCUGUCGGUGGAAACUUUCUGGCUAGAGUCCGGAAGAGGAGAAUGGAAUUCCUGGUGUAGCGGUGAAAUGCGCAGAUAUCAGGAAGAACACCCGUGGCGAAGGCGGUUCUCUGGGCAGUAAACUGACGCUGGAGGAAGCG
rnacentral:rRNA from 1 species